GACGAACGCUGGCGGCGUGCCUAAUACAUGCAAGUAGAACGCUGAAGGAGGAGCUUGCUUCUCUGGAUGAGUUGCGAACGGGUGAGUAACGCGUAGGUAACCUGCCUGGUAGCGGGGGAUAACUAUUGGAAACGAUAGCUAAUACCGCAUAAGAGUAGAUGUUGCAUGACAUUUGCUUAAAAGGUGCAAUUGCAUCACUACCAGAUGGACCUGCGUUGUAUUAGCUAGUUGGUGAGGUAACGGCUCACCAAGGCGACGAUACAUAGCCGACCUGAGAGGGUGAUCCGCCACACUGGGACUGAGACACGGCCCAGACUCCUACGGGAGGCAGCAGUAGGGAAGCUUCGGCAAUGGACGGAAGUCUGACCGAGCAACGCCGCGUGAGUGAAGAAGGUUUUCGGAUCGUAAAGCUCUGUUGUAAGAGAAGAACGAGUGUGAGAGUGGAAAGUUCACACUGUGACGGUAUCUGACCAGAAAGGGACGGCUAACUACGUG
rnacentral:rRNA from 1 species